rnacentral:rRNA from 2 species
CAGGUUGACCUCGGAUCAGGUAGGAAUA